CUGAGGGAUGCCUCAGUGCUUCAUCUGCCCCCUUCCCAAAACUCUGCUCUUGGUUGAAGAAACUGGCCUUCCCGGGAUAGAGACAGACCUGUCUUUGGUUGAGGUGUCACAGAAGUGACGCUCUUCAGUUAGAACCUCCAAACAAAAUCUCAUGGAUAAAAUCAGAUGAUUUCACAAAAGAAACUUAUGAUGUAGAGAAAAGGAAUCACAGAAAACCAAUAAAAUACAUACCCAGGGCAAACUUCUAUGG
rnacentral:snRNA from 1 species